rnacentral:rRNA from 1 species
UACGUAGGGUGCUAGCGUUAAUCGGAAUUACUGGGCGUAAAGCGUGCGCAGGCGGUUGUGCAAGUCAGAUGUGAAAUCCCCGGGCUUAACCUGGGAACUGCAUUUGUGACUGCACGGCUAGAGUACGGCAGAGGGGGAUGGAAUUCCGCGUGUAGCAGUGAAAUGCGUAGAUAUGCGGAGGAACACCAAUGGCGAAGGCAGUCCCCUGGGCCUGUACUGACGCUCAUGCACGAAAGCGUGGGGAGCAAACAGG